AUGUUCCUGCAGAGGAACAGAGCCGCGUCACUGCUGAGGCUGAGGAUGCGGAGACCGCGUGUCCCGCCAGCAGGUGGCAGUGUAAGACUGCGCACGGCUGAUGAAGAGCAGAUGGAUGAAGGAGAGCGUUACUCUGCAACAAAGAGCGUUUCAAGGAGGAACCAGGAAACUGGCUGCUGCUCUCCAAUGCAUCGCCCAUAGAGGAGGGACGGAGCGAGCCAUGCAGAGUUCAGUAGCUGUGUCUAAUCCUGAACCGGAUGAAGUCACAGAAUCCAAACUACAGAACAGUAUUCUCCCCUGACAGUGUGACGGGCACAGGAACAGAUGGAUGAGGUUUACUUCUGCUCCUUCAUUGGUAUUAAACUGGAUUUCCUAGUCUCCUUCAGUUGUCUUUAGUAGAAGAUCUGCUUGGAAAAACAGGGCAGAUCAGUGCACUGGUUUAUGACGCACGCGAGUCAGAAUGUGCGGUACCAAAGUGUGGAGUCGAGCGCUGGAUCGGUUCUGGCCACUUCGCACGGGCCUGGCGCUUCGAGGAGCGGAAAACAAACAGGGGGAGGCUGCCAGGGAGGUUGCUAGAAAGAGAAACUGGCAGGCAGCGAGCGGAAGCAGAUAAACAGCAGACAGCUGCAGAGCUGCCUUUCAAAUCAACAGUUCACCAAAGGCCCCGACCAUCUGUCUCGUACGAGCUGUGGCCCACGUGCGGUACGUUCUCCUCCGCUUCCCGUCUCUGUGUCUGAUUCACACACUCAGUGGACACGCAGCUGAUUCAUCCUAAUCGGAAACAAAUAACGCAACACAGUUUUUCGUCUGACCUCGUGGAUCGGUCAAAGUUUAUUGAGAGUGUGGACUAACAGUCAUCUGGAUGAAUGACAGAUGAAAACAUGGCUGACUGCAACAUGUUCCACGCAUCAAAGGAACAUGACAACAGAUGACUUAUAAACCAGAGUCAUCAUUCAAAGAAUGCAUUACACUGCAACUAAGCAGCCUAAUUUUUAGACGUCAUUAAAUCUGUUAUUGUUUAGAUCGUUGUGAUCAUUUCCAGCCGCAGAAUUAGUUUGGCCUUUCAAUUUACAAAGAACUAAAGUAGAUUAGAGCAGCAAAUCCUCACACCCACAACCCGUUGAUUAAGUCUCAAAUUAAUCGAUUUUAUUUUGACAAAUGAAUCAAUUAAGUGACUCAACAUUUCUGUGUUUCUGUGUUU
rnacentral:lncRNA from 1 species